rnacentral:rRNA from 2 species
UUUAUUGGAGAGUUUGAUCCUGGCUCAGGAUGAACGCUGGCGGCGUGCCUAAUACAUGCAAGUCGAGCGAAUGGAUUAAGAGCUUGCUCUUAUGAAGUUAGCGGCGGACGGGUGAGUAACACGUGGGUAAC